rnacentral:tRNA from 1 species
GGGGCGGUAGUCUAGCCCGGCUAUGAUGUCUCGCUUACACCGAGAAGACUAAGGGAAAUUCCCCCUUGGCACUCGAGGGUCGCUGGUUCAAAUCCGGCCCGCCCCA